rnacentral:rRNA from 1 species
GACAGAGGAUGCAAGCGUUAUCCGGAAUGAUUGGGCGUAAAGCGUCUGUAGGUGGCUUUUUAAGUCCGCCGUCAAAUCCCAGGGCUCAACCCUGGACAGGCGGUGGAAACUACCAAGCUGGAGUACGGUAGGGGCAGAGGGAAUUUCCGGUGGAGCGGUGAAAUGCGUAGAGAUCGGAAGGAACAGCAGUGGCGAAAGCGACUUCCUGGACCAAUACUGACGCUCAUGUGCGAAAGCGUGGGGAGCAAACAGG